UCUCCUGAGAGUGAACCUGGCUCGGCCCGCGGCCAGGCAAACAGAAGCACCGGCCUCCGACAGGGUUCUGAGCAAACACACCAAGUCAGAGCCGUCCCGGCCGAGGGAGCUGGCCUGCACUUUGUCCCAGUGAAUCAGCUGCACGGAGGCCGGGCCGUUGCAAAGAGCAGCACCUGGCUGGAAGUGAGGGCCAGGUGAGCUGGUACAUGUGGCACCUGGACUUUGGCAGUGUCCCGGGGGCCCGGAGGCAGUACUGGGCCAGCUCCCUGGAGCAGCGCUGAAGGAAGGUGGGAGUCGUCUGAGCAGGAAGCUAAAAUACCUACAUAACUGACCCAAAACCCAAGGGAAAUUCAGAGGGGCAGGAAUGGAGCCGUGGGUUCCUCAGUGGCCCCCUCCAUCUCGGGGAAGGCCCAGGUCGCCAGUGCCGGACUCAGAGCGAGGACUUCAGAGAGACGGAUACCAUCGGCCUGCUCCACACUCUUGGCACAACGGAGAGAGGCUUCCCCAAUGGCAAGACGUCCAGGGGAGCCCCCAGCCACAGCAGGACCCCAGGGCAGGUCCCCAGCGGCCCCAGCACGUGCCCAGGCUGGGGGCAUGGCAGCAGCAUGCACCUGCGGUUGACUAUUACGAAGGUGGUCAUCGCGGUCAGUUGUAUUCAAGGCCGAGUUAUGAGAGCCUCUAUCCAGCCCUGACGGAAGACUAUGCUUACGGAAGCCACUACUACCAUGGACACCCGCAGUGGCAGCAGGAAGGAAGAGUGCCAAGGCAAGGGAGUCCUUAUGUGUGGCAUGACAGUUACCGGGAUCAGAGACACCUCAGCGAACAUCGUCCUGAAAACCAAAGCAGGACGUUCAGAAGAGAUAGUGAAACCCAGUUCCAACGAUCUAACAGGCGAAACCCUCAUAAAGAUGGCCCUGCCUCCAGCUCUGGGCAGGAGAGGCCCGGAGAGCUGUUUGCAGAGGGUCGGCUCAGCUGGGGCCUGACGAGUCAGCCGUCGUUGGGCAGCAAGUCCAACCUUCUGCAGCAACGUGAGGCUGGUCUCAGCUCCAGCAGCUAUGAGCUCAGUCAGUACAUGGUGGACGCCCCCGAGCUGUAUGAUCCUGCCGCUGCAGCGGGCUGGAGGCCAGUCCCAGCCGAGGACAUCCCAGUGGCUGGUCCCAAGGCGCCCAAGAAGUUCUACAUCCCUCACGUGUCUGUGGGUUUUGGGCCAGGAGGUCAGCUGGUGUGUGUGAGUCCCAGCUCUCCCAUGGAUGGCCAAACCGCCCUUGUUGAAGUGCACAGCAUGGAGGUGAUUCUUAACGAUUCGGAAGAACAAGAGGAGAUGAGAAGUUUCCCGGGACCCCUGAUCAGGGAGGACGUGCACAAAGUAGACGUCAUGACGUUCUGCCAGCAGAAGGCAGCUCAGAGCCGCAAGUCUGGGACACCGGGCGGCAGAGACUCUGCUCUUCUGUGGCAACUGUUGGUUCUCCUUUGUCGCCAGAAUGGCUCCAUGGCGGGGUCCGACAUCGCUGAGCUGCUGCUGCAAGACUGUAAGAAACUGGAGAAGUACAAGAAGCAGCCCCCUGUGGCCAACCUCAUCAACCUGGCCGAUGAGGACUGGCCGGUGCUGAGCUCCGGGCCGCGGAACCUGCUCACCGGGGAGACCCCUCCCAGUGUGGAGACGCCUGCGCAGGUGGUGGGAAAGUUCACUCAGUUGCUCUACUAUGGAAGGAAGAAGGAGGCCCUGGAGUGGGCCAUGAAGAACCACCUGUGGGGCCAUGCUUUGUUCCUAUCCAGCAAGAUGGAGCCAAGGACCUACAACUGGGUCAUGAGUGGCUUCACCAGCACGCUGGCGCUCAACGACCCCCUGCAGACCCUCUUCCAGCUCCUGUCCGGGAGGAUCCCACAAGCAGCCACGUGCUGUGGGGACACGCAGUGGGGAGACUGGAGGCCUCACUUGGCUGUGAUUCUGUCGAAUCAGGCUGGGGACCCGGAGCUGCGUCGACGUGUGAUUGUCUCCAUGGGGGACACCCUGGCCAGCAAGGGGCUGGUGGAGGCAGCCCACUUCUGCUACCUCAUGGCUCAGGUGCCCUUCGGACACUACACUGUGAACGCGGACCGUCUGGCCUUGCUGGGCAGUAGCCACAGUCAGGAGUUCCCGAGGUUCGCCUCCGCGGAGGCUAUCCAGAGGACGGAGGUCUUGGAGUACUGUCGGACGCUGGGCGGCCGCCCGGGCCUCAUCGCUUCCUUCCAGGUGUAUAAGCUCCUUUAUGCUUCCCGCCUGGCGGACUACGGCCUGGCGUCCCAGGCCUUCCAUUACUGCGAAGCCAUUGGCACGGCCGUCCUGAGCCAGGCAGAGAGCAGCCACCCUGUGCUAUUAGUGGAACUCAUCAAGCUGGCCGAGAGGCUGAAGCUGGCAGACCCGUUGGUUCUCGAGAGGCGCGGGGGAGAUGAGGCCUGGGAGCCUGACUGGCUGCAGCGGCUCCGGCGGCACCAGGAGCUGCAGCAAAAGGCAGCUGCAGACGCUGGGGAACCUCAUUCUGCAAACUUGGAUACUCCAGGAGCCACAGGAACAACAGAAAGCACUUUCUACCAGGAUCUUCCCGCAUAUCAGCGCUUCUCAGACGCCCCCGGGUGCGAGCCAGCGCCAUGGCCAACACCUACGCAGACUGGCCUGCCCCAGCCCUUUCCCCUCCAGCCAGGGCCCGCCGCAGGGCCGGCAGGGGCACCUGUGCCUCUCUAUUCAGUGCCUGAGACCCACUUCCCGGUCAGCACGGAGGAACCACAGGCUGUUGGAGGACAGGUCUGGGAGGACACGCGGCAGACACACUCAGCCCCUGGAGAGAACAUAGCGUCUCCAGAGACCUUCCAGGAGCCUGAGGGUCUAGAGGUCAUUUCCACGCCACAGGUGAGUGGACGAAGCAGGGUGAAGGUGAAGAGGUGCCUGCUGCUGGGUUUCCCGUGCAUGUAGGUGCCCUGGUUUCUGAGUUCCCUGCAGACUCCUCCCCACCACGGCGCCAGCUCUCUCUCCCACUCUGUGCCUCUUCCUCACUGUUUCUAGCCCCAGUCCUGGGGGGCAGGGAGGAGCCUGUGUUCUUACUUACAUUCAGUCCCACCCCAUGUGUCCUGGGAGGUGGAGUGGAGGGAGCAGAAGAGCUGGUUUAGUUUUGGCCUCAUGGAUCUUUGCCCCCUUGGCAUCCUAACUGUCUGUCUGUCUAUCUAUAUCUAUCUGUCUGUCUAUCUAUCUAUCUAUCUAUCUAUGUAUCUAUCUGAGAGAAAGAGACAGAGGUCUUUCAUCUACUGACUGAUGCCCCAAAUACAGGCCUAGGCCAGGAGCCAGGCACUCCAUCCUGGUCUCCCACAUGGAUGGCAGGACCCAAGUUUUUGGACCAUUGUCUACUACCUCUCAGGUACAUUAGCAGGAGGCUGGAUCAGAAAUAGAGUAGCUGGGACUGAAACCAGCACUCCAAUGUGGAAUGCAGAUGUCCCAAGCAGUGCCUCAACCCACUGCAUCGCAAUGCCUACCUUCUCUUCUUUUUCUAAAUUUAUGUAUGUAUACGUGUACUUUUCUUUCUUUGAAAGGAAGAGAUACACAGAGAGAUAGAGAUAAAAAGAUCUUCCAUCUGUUGAUGCACUUUUCAAACACCUGCAACAAGAGGUGCUGGGCUGGGCUAAAGCUAGGAGCCAGGGACUCAACCUGGGUCUCUCACAUUGGUGGCAGCUGACCCAAGGACUUCAGCCAUCAUCUGCUGCCUUCCAGGGUAUGCAUUAGCAGAAAGCCGGAACUGGUAGUAAAGCCAGCACUUGAACCCAAGCACCAGUGAAUGAGUGGAGGGGAGCGCUUACUCUCUCUGCCUUUCUCAUUCUCUCUGCCUCUCAAAUAAAAAAACAAGAAGUUUAGGGGCUGGCACCGGUAGUAGGUUAAGCCUCUGCCUGUGGUGCUGGCAUUCCAGCUUGGAGUCCUGGUUGCUCCACUUCUGAUCCAGCUGUCUGCUAAUGGCCGGCUAAAGCAGUGGGAGAUAAUCCAAGUACCUGGGCCCCUGUACCCAUGUGGGAGACCCAGAAGAAGCUCCCGGCUCCUGGCUUCUGAUCGGCCCAGCUCCAACCGUUGUAGCUAUUUGGGGAGUGAACCAGCAGAUGGAAGACCUCUCUCUAUGUCUCUCCCUAUCUCUAUCUGUAACUCUGCCUCUCAAAUAAAUAAGUAGAGCUUUAAAAAAAGAUAAAUUUAUUUUGAAAUCUAUGUAUAACUUUUUCAUAAUAUGCAUUUCCACGAACUUCUUGAAAAAUCAUUGUGUAUGUACAUAUAUACUUAAGUGUAUAUGUGUGUAUGAAUAGAUGUGCAUAAAACAUAUGCAUGUGUGUUUUUAAAUGGUGAAGAAAAUGUCCAUGGAGAGCUUUAUUUCUUAUUUUUAAAAAUAUUUAUUUAUUUGGAAGACAUAGUGACAAAAGGGAGAAACAAAGUGAAAGAGAAUUUUUAAAAUUUUUAUUCUAUUUUUUUCAAUUUCCCCCCUUGCUGCUGCCUUUUUUUUUUUUUUUUGAUAGGCAGAGUUAGAGAGAGAGACAGAGAGAAAGGUCUUCCUUCCUUUGGUUCACCCCCCAAAUGGCUGCUACGGCCAGUGCGCUGGACCAAUCCAAAGCCAGGAGCCAGGUGCUUCCUCCUGGUCUCCCAUGCGGGUGCAAGGCCCAAAUACUUGUGUGGGGAGCAAUCCGGACUGGACUAAGUUACUGGAAUUAAGACUUAUUCUAUGCAUCUGCUCUCCCACAACAUGGCGCUGGGAGAGAAGUAAACAGCUUCCGCACAGCUGCCUCCAGUUCAACCAAUAAACAGUAGGACUUGCUCCUGAUUGGAGGAGAGCAGCGUACUCGGCGUGUGGGCAGCCGAGUUAGGAUUGGCGGAGGAGGACUAUAAAGGAGGAGAGAGACGGCAUGCACCGGGGAACAUCUAUGGGGAACAUCUAAGGGGAACAUCUAGCUGAAGGAACACCUGUGCAGCCCCCCGAGAAAGCCGGCUGGCGGUGUGCCGCUCCCCUGCGGAAGUGGGGAAUGUGGCCAGGGGGAACUGCCCUUCCACGGAGGUGGAAGGGAUAGUAGCCAACCCGGGAAGAACCAGCAGCAAACCCGGGGAGGGCCGAGCAGACGAAAGAACAGCGCAGGGUCCUGUGUCGUUCCUCCGCGAAGAGGGGGAGCGACAUAAUGGUGCUGUGACUCGGAUAUGAAGCCUAGGCAGGGUUUAGUGUCAUUCCUCCACGAAGAGGGGGAGCGACAUAAUGGUGCUGUGACUCGGAAGGAAACCUAGGACGGAUAGCAAACUUAGGAGGGAAGAAACGGGAAGAAACGGGAAGAAUUGGGAAAUUAUCGGAGAGAGAGACUAGCAAACAGCCUAGGGAAAAGCCGGACGAAAAAAGGUGCCGGAAGAAGCUAUGGAAAGCCUAGGCAUAGACUCAGAUACGGACUACGGGGGGAAGCUGGGAGAAAUCUCUAAGGUCGAAAGCGAAAGUGAAAGCUAGAACAAACAGACUCGGAUGCGGACUGUGGGGAGAGGCCAGGAGAAAUGAGGGAGGAGUAUUGUUGGAGGAAAGCUUGGGGAAACAUACCGGGUAGAGAAAAAUGUUAGGGAAAUUGAAGCCGCGGGGGGCAGGCCAAGGCGGAAACGGAAGCCACUUUGGGAUUCUCAAGUUAGCCCGGGAAUAGGGGGCGAAAGGUUGAAACCAGAAGCUGAAACGUAAGCCAGAUUGGGAUCCGUCUGAUUAGCCCGGGGAGCAAAGGACGGGAAGCCAAAUCGUGGGGCGGAGACGUAAGCUGGGUUGAAUUCGCCAGGCUAGCCCGGGGAACUUAGAUUGAAUGCUAGUGGCGGACACGUAAGCUACGCUGUGUGACUCGCGGAGGCUGCCGUGCGCAGAGAGAGCGUGCGGGGCACAAGUAGAUAGGGAACGGGGCUGGCGUAGGCCGUGGUGCAGACGCAAAGGGCGUGGAAAGCGGAGCCGCGCAGAUGAGAGAGGCGCUGGCUGAAGCGGCGCAGAGCGGGAAGCUGCGGGGAUAAGAGAAACAGAAGUUUGGAAGUGGAGUGAGAGAAAUGGGAAUGUUGGCAGACAGAAGUAAAAUGGGAGAAAUAGGAAUGCCCGGAGAUAGAGAAAUAGAGAAAUAGAAAGGCCUCCCUACAAUACAACAAUUAGAAGGCUUGGAUUCGGUCUGCCCGAUUAGUGAGGCGAUGAGCACCUGGGCGGCUAGCAGCUUAUGCGCCGCAGGUCACCGAAGACAGGCACGAAUUAACAUCAGUAAGGCCUCCCCACAAAAAGGCAAUGAGAAGGCUUGGAUUCGGUUUGCCUGAUAGGGCUUGUAAGCCCCUGCAGGCAGAGCAGAGCAUGCGCUGCAGGGCACCGAACACAGGCACGCAUCAGCGCCUAAAAACCUCCUCACAACAUGGCGAAGAGAGGACCCGGAUUCGGUUUGCCUGAUUGAUAGGACUUGUAAGAGCCUGUGGCAACUCUAGCAAGUAGAGCAGAGUGUGUGCCGCGGGACACCGAAGACAGGUGCGUAUCAACGCCAAAAAAUAAAAAGAAAGGGGGAUCUGUGGGGAGCAAUCCGGACUGGACUAAGUUACUGGAAUUAAGACUUAUUCUAUGCAUCUGCUCUCCCACAACAUGGCGCUGGGAGAGAAGUAAACAGCUUCCGCACAGCUGCCUCCAGUUCAACCAAUAAACAGUAGGACUUGCUCCUGAUUGGAGGAGAGCAGCGUACUCGGCGUGUGGGCAGCCGAGUUAGGAUUGGCGGAGGAGGACUAUAAAGGAGGAGAGAGACGGCAUGCACCGGGGAACAUCUAUGGGGAACAUCUAAGGGGAACAUCUAGCUGAAGGAACACCUGUGCAGCCCCCCGAGAAAGCCGGCCGGCGGUGUGCCGCUCCCCUGCGGAAGUGGGGAAUGUGGCCAGGGGGAACUGCCCUUCCACGGAGGUGGAAGGGAUAGUAGCCAACCCGGGAAGAACCAGCAGCAAACCCGGGGAGGGCCGAGCAGACGAAAGAACAGCGCAGGGUCCUGUGUCGUUCCUCCGCGAAGAGGGGGAGCGACAACUUGGGCCAUCCUACACUGCCUUCCCAGGCCACAGCAGAGAGCUAGACCGGAAGAGGAGCAACUGGGACAGAAUCUGGCGCCCCAACCGAGACUAGAACCAGGGGUGCCGGCAUCGCAGGCGGAGGAUUAGCCAAGUGAGCGCGGCGCCGGCCAAGAAUUUUCAUCUGCUGGUUCACUCCCCAAGUAGUCACAGUGGCUGGGGCUGAAGCCAGGAGCCCAGAACUCCAUCUGGGUCUCCGGUAUGGGUGGCAGGGGCCCUAACAAAGGGCCUGUUGGUGCCUGUGGUCAGGGAAGGUGUGAGCUCCUGGUGCCUGUGGUCAGGGAAGGUGUGAGCACCUGGUGCCUGUGGUCAUGGAAGGUGUGAGCACAGCAGCCCUGGUGCCUGUGGUCAGGGAAGGUGUGAGCUCCUGGUGCCUGUGGUCAGGGAAGGUGUGAGCUCCUGGUGCCUGUGGUCAGGGAAGGUGUGAGCACCUGGUGCCUGUGGUCAGGGAAGGUGUGAGCACCUGGUGCCUGUGGUCAGGGAAGGUGUGAGCACCUGGUGCCUGUGGUCAGGGAAGGUGUGAGCACCUGGUGCCUGUGGUCAGGGAAGGUGUGAGCGCAGCAGCCCUGGUGCCUGUGGUCAGGGAAGGUGUGAGCACAGCAGCCCUGGUGCCUGUGGUCAGGGAAGGUGUGAGCGCAGCAGCCCUGGUGCCUGUGGUCAGGGAAGGUGUGAGCACAGCAGCCCUGGUGCCUGUGGUCAGGGAAGGUGUGAGCACCUGGUGCCUGUGGUCAGGGAAGGUGUGAGCGCAGCAGCCCUGGUGCCUGUGGUCAGGGAAGGUGUGAGCUCCUGGUGUCUGUGGUCAGGGAAGGUGUGAGCUCCUGGUGCCUGUGGUCAGGGAAGGUGUGAGCGCAGCAGCCCUGGUGCCUGUGGUCAGGGAAGGUGUGAGCACCUGGUGCCUGUGGUCAGGGAAGGUGUGAGCACGGGGACUGGGCUCUGGCCUCAUCCUGACUCCUCAGCAGUCACUGAGGUCAGUCCCGUCGGAGCAUCCUGUGGUGUAUGCAGUGAUGGGUUGUAGAGGGAGCCACAUAAUAUGUGGCAUUGAAAGACAAAUGCCCUAAAUAGCACUCUGGCCUCAGAAUCAGACUUAAGGCAUUCAGAUCUGGAUAAAAAUCCCUUGAGAGUAUUCAGGCAUGGAAAUCCAAGACACUGUGGCAAAAAAUGACUUACAUUAAAGAUCUCUGUGAGUGAGAUCCCAGUGGGAAGAAUGGGCCAUCAAAGAAGGAGGUACCUUUCUCUGAAGGGAGGAGAGAACUUCCACUUUGACUAUGACCUUGUCUAAAUAAGAUCGGAAUUGGCUAACUCGAGAGGCUUCCAUAGCCUUGGCAGCUCAUGACUAGAGCCUCGGGUGAUUACUGACACCAUAAACAAGAGUGUCAAUUGUUAAAUCAACACAACAGGAGUCACUGUGCACUUGCUCCCCAUGUGGGACCUCUGUGCUUAAUGUGUUGUACUGUGAGAAUUAACGGUAAAACUAGUCUUCAAACAGUACUUUGCACCCACACAGACAUGCAAAGUAUAAUCUGUUGAAAUAUUUACUUAGUAUAGAGUUGAUCUUCUGUAUAUAAAGAUAAUUAAACAUGAAUCUUAAUGAAGAAUGGGAUGGGAGAGGGAGUAGGAGGUGGGAUGGUUUGG